rnacentral:rRNA from 1 species
GUCUCAAAUCAGGUAGGAUCACCCGCUGAACUUAAGCAUAUCAAUAAGCGGAGGAAAAGAAACCAACAGGGAUUGCUCUAGUAACGGCGAGUGAAGCAGCAAUAGCUCAAAUUUGAAAUCUGGCGUCUUCGACGUCCGAGUUGUAAUUUGUAGAGGAUGCUUUUGGGCAGCCACCGGUCUAAGUUCCUUGGAACAGGACGUCAUAGAGGGUGAGAAUCCCGUAUGUGACUGGACAGGCACCCUUUGUAAAGCUCCUUCGACGAGUCGAGUUGUUUGGGAAUGCAGCUCUAAAUGGGAGGUAAAUUUCUUCUAAAGCUAAAUAUUGGCGAGAGACCGAUAGCGCACAAGUAGAGUGAUCGAAAGAUGAAAAGCACUUUGGAAAGAGAGUUAAAAAGCACGUGAAAUUGUUGAAAGGGAAGCGCUUGCAAUCAGACUUG